CUCAGACUUAUAAUACAGCACUGCACAAGUGACCUGCUGCAGGAAUAUAGCCUCACAGAAGGGUGGGUCUGAAGGACAAUGAGGAAGAAAACUCCUUCUAGCGGACAGAAAUUUGGGUGAUAGAACUGAUUUUCCAUUUUGUUUGUCUGGAAGGCCAGAGAUCAGAAUGAUGGAUCUAUACCAGUUCAUGGACAAAAGCUAACGGUUUGGCUGGACAUUCAGGGACUUGGAAAGAUCACGAUUUGAGGAUUGGUGAUAAGUAGAUUUGGGGAAGAGGUAUGUGGAUAAACCUCUAAGAAUGAGCUCAGAAUGUAAGAUUGUUUAUAUAUCAUGUGGGGAUGCAGUCUUGUUGUAGAAAGAAUUUUCUCCCCGUGAAGUUAAUUGGUUCAGAACAUCUAGUAUAACACUGAUAACCACAGGGCUAAACACCAGUACAGUCCCCAUUUUACUGAUGAGCACUGAGACCCAGCGUCUGGCACAGCGCCCAAGCCCUUAGAUGGUGGAACAAGAAUUCAAAUCCCGGCGGCUGAUUCAUCAGAAGGAAGCCUCAACAGAUGGAGCUCCUCACAUCGUGUAACAUGCCCUCCUGACUACAGGAAAGAACGUGUCUGGAGAAUCAAGCAUCCUCUGGAAGAAGCAACCACACUAGAAACCUUCCCGUUCUUGAGAGGGUGUAUUGUUAACACACUCAUGAGUUAAUGAGAGACCUCUCCAUUCAGCCAGCAGAUGAAGAAGAAGAAUGGUGGGUUGGGCGUGAAAGUUGUUAUGAACCAAAUAUGGAAGUCACAUUCAUUACUUAUCCAUAUUUUAUUGGCUAGAACUCAGUCAUAUGGCGACUCCUAAAGAAAAGCUGGGAAAGGAAGUGGAGUUGUGAACUCACAAAGGACAAACGGAUUUGGUAAAAGCAUCUAGCCAGUCUGUUGUGGAUGGCAGUACUUUUGAUAAAGCAAAGACGUUCAAGUGAGUGUACAACAACACACAGGUAUUGGAACUUGUGCUUCGUGUUACCACAGUACAGCCCACAUCGGAAAGGCUUGGACAUAUGUAGUCUAUUUCUAAGGUGAGAAUGAAAUCUCAGCAUACAAUCACAGCUUUGUGAUAAUGGAACCACUCAAGUGUUGGCUUUUAGGGGACUGGGUGAGCAGAGUGAGCACGUGAAAGGAAGCACCAUCUCCACCCAUUCCUACCUCUCUCUUGUCCUUUAAAGAUGAGAUGGAGUGCGACAGCCCAGAGUCUGCACAGAACCACGCAGCCAGUGUGUACACAUGGAAGUUUUGAAGUCCCAGAGCAGAGUGUAACUCUUUUGAAGAAAAUAUUUUGUGAUAGCCUGAUUUUACUGGAGCCAUUUGGAACAGACAUUUCUCCGUGGCUUUAUGAAAGCGUUCCACCUUUCUGCAGGAUUUCAGGAAAGUCACAUCUUCCCAAAUUAAUCUUCACUGUUUUUGAAGACCAUGACUAGUUAAAACUCUACAUCAUUACUUAAUCUCAUGUUCUUUCUUUUCUUUUUCUCUUUGUGUAUUUUAAAAAAUAGAAUUACUCAUAAAAGACAGGUGGAAGAUGAAAGAUUAAAUCUAUUCUUCUAUAGUGCCAAAUCAAACUCAAUUUUGAGGCAGACCUAUAGCUAUACAAUGAAAAUAAGUAUUCAAUUAAAGAUGUUAUCAUGAUAUGACUCAAUCAAUGACUAAUACAAUUAAUAUAACACUUGUGGCAAUGAGUAGAAGUUCAACUGCAUUAUAGCAAAAUUACUGUAAAAUGUAAAAUUGAUAUUUUGCACCUUUUCAUUUUCAGGAAUUUGAAGCAUCUAGAUCUCAUCUUGUAGUUGUCAGUUUUCAAUCAUUAUUUAUGUCAGAUGUAUUAUUGACUGAUGAAAGUCAGGUCUCCCUUGCUCCCUUUAAAACACUUAGAAUAGUUGCUUUUGUAUCUUGCAUUUUUCACAAGUACUUUCUUUGUCAAAAAAAACAUUAUGUCACAGCAGAAAUUGCUGCUUAAGCCCCUGAUGCAUGACUUUCUAAAAGGAGAUUUUUUUCUAAAAUCUGUUAGAUUCCUUUAAAGUGAAAAACCCAUAAAACAAAACAAAAUGAAAAAAACUGUCUGCUACAUAUGAUCCACAACAUUUUAGUCCAGUUCAUAGCAUUUGCUUUGCAUAAGUUACACAGCAAAUUUAAUUGAGAAUGAGGAUGAUGCAUUUUUGUGUCAAUAAUAUGACAAAACCAGUGACAACCCUAAUUAUGAGAUGAGAAUUCAUGCUUUAAUUGAUACUGUUAUUUUCCUAGGAAGUUCUGUAUCUUAUACCUUAACAAAGAAAUCUUGCAAUGUUGUCAAAACUUGCGUGGUUUUUUGGAUUCUUGUUUGUUUAUUUGGUUUAGGUGGCCCUGAGAAAUGUUCCUUUAUUUUCUGUCUCUCUCCUGUUUUAAGUAAAAUUGUUGGUUCAUGGAAAGAACUAUUUUCUAGAGUAAAGUAGCUGGUGUCUCAAUAUCCCUAUUUUUAAGCUGAAAUGACACAGUAAGAUCAUUGUGGACAGAAAAGAAGGAAAUAAAUCAGCUUCUGAGAUAUUAUCAUUCACUUUACAUAGUGAAAACAAAUACAGCUUUCAUAUUCUAACACUCACCACAGAUAAAUUGCAUUGUGUAUCAUUAUUUAACACAGUGAAAAAAGAGAGGGUAUCUAUGACUCUGGGGUGUACAGUAUUUUGAUAAUGUAUCCUAUUGAAGCAAAAUAAAUUUGCUACUAGAUGGUAAAAUUACAAAGAGCUUAUCAAAGUGCUGACUCAGAUGCGAUGUAUAGAAAAUAAUCUUACACAUAUAGGAGUGAACAACAUAUUGGUAUUUAUUAAUCUCCACAAUAGGUUAUAGCAUUGUGCAGAAUUUAAAAAAUAUAAAAAAGUAUUGAAGUGGACUUAUUUUUUAUUUUCUGAGCACCUCUCAUUUUUGUUGGUAAAAGGACUCAAUUUCUGUUGAGGAAAUGCUUCUCCCUCCCUCUUUACCGUUCAUGCAGGAAGGGCUGCCAUUUUGUGACAGGCACCCACACUUCUGACAACAGUGACUGCUCUGCGGGGAGGAGCACCGUCAUGUUCCAUCCUCGUUCCACAGCCAAUGUGAUCCAAGCAGGGCCCGUGGGAGUCAGUUCUUUCACAGGAAUUUUUUUUUUUUCCCUAAACAACAGCUGGGAGCUGGGAGAAGUGGUACUUUCACAGUGAGUCUGCAAUAGAAGAGAAUGAGGCCAAAAUACAGCAAGAAGCAGAGAAGAGGGCAGAAGGCAGCUCGUCUGUCUUGGAAUACUUGUUUCUAGGCUCUAAAACCUCAGAAGCUGCGGCCCUAAGUUUUGCUCCUUCAUUUCUGUGAGACUCCACAGUAUUUUCCCAAUAAAAAUUCUCCCCUCUUUUUCUGUUUUUGCCUUAGGAAGUUCAGGUUAAAUUUCAAUCACUUUCAACCAAAGAAAAAAGGAAUCCUGAAUUGGGUAUUCAGCAUAAUUGAAUUCAAUAUAACAAAUAUUCAGUAUACAUAAAUUCAUUUAUUUAUAAAUAAUAAAUAAUUUAUAUUAAUAAAUACCAUUAAUAUCAAUAAAUACAAUUAAUAAAUUAUUUAUGUAAUUUAAAUAUAAUACAAAAACUCAAUAUAAAUAAACAUAAUAAAUAUUGAAUGUAGUUAUGUACUUUUUUUGAAUCAGGAAAAUAUUUAAAUUUAAAUUUCAUCUUUUAAGACUAGCAUAAUCAAUUCUAACUAGAUAAUAAGGCGUGCUGUAUUAUGUGGUUUCAUGGAAAGUUUCACAGAAUAUUUGUUUUUCCACACGUUCCCCAAAGACAAAUUUAUUUUAAUACAUUUUGAUAUCUAGUGAGAAAGAAGUUUCUAGGCACUCAUUUGCACAUUCAUUUAUCAAUAAACAUUCACUGAAGUUGUUUUAUACUGGGCGCUCUUCUAGGUGCUGAGGAUGCGAUAUUGAGAACAAAUCAAGGGAGAUGUCUCUUCCUGGAGUUGACAUAAACAGUGGCAGAUACAGACAAUACACACAAUAAAUAGGACAGUGAUAGAGUACAUCGGGAGUUAAAAACAGCAGUGCAGAAAAAAAACACAAAACAAGGAGAGAAGAUAAGGGAGCUGGGGCAAGGGCUACAAUUUAAAGUCAGGUGUCAGAGAGUCCUCAGUGAAUAUGUGAGACUGACCAGACUUGAAAGAGAUGAUGCAGUGACCCAUGAGUACGGCAAUGACGUAAAUUACCAUCUGAAUGGGGACACUUUUAAGGCUGUGCCUGUUACACUGGAAUAGCAGGCCAAAUGGGAACCCUCUCAGGCCAUCCAGGACACAUGGUCAUCCUAGCUACAUUGGGAAGCAGAGACUUCUGGGUAGAAAAAAGAGCAAGUACAAAGGCCCUGAGGCAGAAGUGUGACUGGCUGGUUCCAAGUCCAACGAGGAGGCCACUAUGGCUAGAGCCAAGUGAACAAGGGUGAGAGGAGGAAGAAGAGAAGAAAGCACGGUAUUUCAUUAGGGGCCUGAAGGCCAUGGUAAGGACCGUGUCAUUUACUUUGAGUGAAAUGGAGAGUCAUUGAGAGUUUUAUCAGGGGAGUGACAUGACCUGACUCGUGUUUUAAAAGAAUAGUAGAGUGUAGGAGGCCAAGAAUAGAAGCAGAGAUCCCACUUAGAGGCCACUGAAGUAACCCGGAUGAGAGAGCUGGUGAGCGGUCCUGGGUGUGCGUGGUGGUGGCCGCAGAGCUGAGACAGUGGUCGGGUCUUUCCUGCAUUGUAAAGGUGAGACCAAUAAUAUUUGUGAUGGGUUUGAAGGUGGAGUGUGAAAGAGAGAGCAGUCAAAGGAACUCCAGGUGUUUGGCCUGAGUGAUGGAAGGUUGCAGGUGCCAUUUCCUGAGAUGGUAAAGGUACUAGGAGGACCAGGUUUUAGGGGAAAAGACGAAUUAACCAUGGGACACGUUAUGUUUUAGAAGUCUAUAAAAUACCCAAAAUAGUUUCUCAACAUAAAAUCAAGAUACUAUCAUCAGAAAGAGAGAAAAAAAGUGUCGAGCAGGUCAAGUCUGAGGGCACAACAGCCUUCUAACUUCUUUAAGCAACUCUAUCUAGAAAAAGGAAUGAGGGUCCUCUGUCAUGUCUUAUUUGUAGUAAGCCUAAUCUGGGAUCUUUGCGGUAUGUCUUUUUCUAAAUUCUCCAAAU
ensembl:lncRNA